GGCUGUCGUCAGCUCGAGUUGUGAAAUUUUGGGUUAAAUCCCGCAAGAAGCCCAACCCUUAUCUUUUUUUCCCACCCGUUAGGCUGGGCACUCUAAGGAGACUGCCGGUGAUAAACCGGAGGAAGGUGGGGAUGACGUCAAGUCAUCAUGGCCCUUACGACCAGGGCUACACACGUGCUACAAUGGCGGGUACAAAGGGUUGCGACCUCGCGAGGGGGAGCCAAUCCCAUAAAGCCGGUCGUAGUCCGGAUUGCAGUCUGCAACUCGCCUCCAUGAAGUCGGAAUCGCUAGUAAUCGCGGA
rnacentral:rRNA from 1 species